AGCAGCCGCGGUAAUUCCAGCUCCAAUAGCGUAUAUUAAAGUUGUUGCAGUUAAAAAGCUCGUAGUUGAACUUCAGGCCUGGCUGGACGGUCCGCCUUCCGGGCGAGCACUGUCUGUGGUCGGGUCCUACCUUCUGGCGAAGCGUCAUGGCCUUCACCGGCCGUGGCGGGGAACCAGGACUUUUACUGUGAAAAAUUAGAGUGUUCAAAGCAGGCAAUUCGCUUGGAUACAUUAGCAUGGAAUAAUGGAAUAGGACAAUGGUUCUAUUUGUUGGUUUCUAGGACUGUUGUAAUGAUUAAUAGGGAUAGUUGGGGGCAUUAGUAUUCAAUUGUCAGAGGUGAAAUUCUUGGAUUUAUUGAAGACUAACUACUGCGAAAGCAUUUGCCAAG
rnacentral:rRNA from 1 species